CUUUAACUCCUCAUCGUGGUUAGCAAGAGACUGUCCAGCGGGAAGAAGCAGCGGGCAUCAGCGCCAGACAGCAGCUGCAUUCAAGCAAUCCCGCCUAUUCGGUGCCGGAUUGGAAGAAAACAUGAGAGAAGAAAGAAAAAUCAUCAAUAACAGACAACAACUGCAUCAAAGCAAUACUGCUUACUUGCUUUACACUCAGGAAAAAGCACUUUAACUCAUCCUCCUACUUGUCCCUGCCAGCAGGUAGGGGAUCUUGGGGGGCAAUUACUGCACUGGUGGGGUGCAAAAUAAACUUUAUUAAGA